rnacentral:rRNA from 1 species
AUUGAACGCUGGCGGCAUGCCUUACACAUGCAAGUCGAACGGCAGCACGGGAGCAAUCCUGGUGGCGAGUGGCGAACGGGUGAGUAAUAUAUCGGAACGUGCCCAGUCGUGGGGGAUAACGUAGCGAAAGCUACGCUAAUACCGCAUACGAUCUAUGGAUGAAAGCGGGGGACCGCAAGACCUCGCGCGAUUGGAGCGGCCGAUAUCAGAUUAGGUAGUUGGUGAGGUAAAGGCUCACCAAGCCGACGAUCUGUAGCUAGUCUGAGAGGACGACCAGCCACACUGGGACUGAGACACGGCCCAGACUCCUACGGGAGGCAGCAGUGGGGAAUUUUGGACAAUGGGCGCAAGCCUGAUCCAGCAAUGCCGCGUGCAGGAUGAAGGCCUUCGGGUUGUAAACUGCUUUUGUACGGAACGAAACGGUGAGCCCUAAUACAGUUUGCUAAUGACGGUACCGUAAGAAUAAGCACCGGCUAACUACGUGCCAGCCGCCGCGGUAACAC